rnacentral:rRNA from 1 species
CGAGUGAAGAGGGAAAAGCUCAAAUUUUGAAUCCGACGUCUUCGGCGUCCGAGUUGUAAUCUAGAGAAGUGUUUUCCGUGUCGGACCGUGCACAAGUUCCCUGGAACGGGGCGUCAUAGAGGGUGAGAAUCCCGUACGUGGCACGGACUCCCGGUGCUCUGCGAUACACUCUCAACGAGUCGAGUUGUUUGGGAAUGCAGCUCAAAAUGGGUGGUAAAUUCCAUCUAAAGCUAAAUAUUGGCGAGAGACCGAUAGCGAACAAGUACCGUGAGGGAAAGAUGAAAAGCACUUUGGAAAGAGAGUGAAACAGUACGUGAAAUUGUUGAAAGGGAAGCGUUUGAAGUCAGUCGCGUCUGGCGGGGUUCAGCCUGGCUUCUGCCUGGUGUAUUCCCUGUCCGACGGGUCAGCAUCAGUUUCGGCCGAGAGAGAAAGGCUUGGGGAAUGUGGCCAUCUUCGGGUGGUGUUAUAGCCCCUUGUCAUAUGUCUCGGUGGGGACUGAGGACUGCAGCGCGCCUUACGGCCGGGGUUCGCGCCCUCGGUACGCGCUUAGGAUGCUGGCA